GACGAACGCUGGCGGCGUGCUUAACACAUGCAAGUCGAACGGAAAGGCCCUGCUUUUGUGGGGCGCUCGAGUGGCGAACGGGUGAGUAACACGUGAGUAACCUGCCCUUUACUUUGGGAUAACUUCAGGAAACUGGGGCUAAUACCGGAUAGGAGCUCCUGCUGCAUGGUGGGGGUUGGAAAGUUUCGGCGGUUGGGGAUGGACUCGCGGCUUAUCAGCUUGUUGGUGGGGUAGUGGCUUACCAAGGCUUUGACGGGUAGCCGGCCUGAGAGGGUGACCGGCCACAUUGGGACUGAGAUACGGCCCAGACUCCUACGGGAGGCAGCAGUGGGGAAUAUUGCACAAUGGGCGGAAGCCUGAUGCAGCAACGCCGCGUGCGGGAUGACGGCCUUCGGGUUGUAAACCGCUUUCGCCUGUGACGAAGCGUGAGUGACGGUAAUGGGUAAAGAAGCACCGGCUAACUACGUG
rnacentral:rRNA from 1 species